UCAUUGAUUCAGAUCGGGACUUCGGAGCAUCGCGAAUCAUUGAUUCAGAUCGGGACUUCGGAUCAUUUGAUCAUUUUGCUAAUUAAAUGAUUGGCAAACCUGAGUCCUGAUCUGAACUUAUGGUUUUGCAAAUUGUUUUUCAGAUUGGGACUCAUUUUAAUAAUUUAUUCAGAGGAGUGACAAAACAGCUGUUGUUAAUCUGUUGUAAUCUGUUGUUUGAGCUCUUCAUAUUUAAGGAGAGAACUAUAGUUUUCAAAGUCGGACAUCACUUGUUAUGAUUUUCAAGGGUGUAGAAUUUAGUAGAGACACUAUGACAUGUCCCUACCAAUAUCAGCCACUACUAAAUUGUUCCUAGCAAUCAUUUUGAUCAAACAAUGUCCUCUCUGAGAAAGUCCGCUGUCUGCAGCAUCUCUGUCGGCUGAAGAUCAGGGCUUGUUUGGGUCGGUUGCGUUUGAGAGCUCCGAUCUUCAUGAGCUUCCUUCCAUUACCAGAACGACUGAAGCAAUACAUCCUGUACAAAGAAUAUGAUCUCUACGCUCAGAAAUGACAAAACAAAGCAAAUAAACCAGAAUUCACACCUGUAGAAACACCUGCACCUGUUAUGUGCACAUUUUUUAAAUACAGUUAAUAUGUAACACAAAGAGUCUUAAUGUUAACGAAUAUGUAAAGAACUCAAUAAUUUAUUCAAUGAAAUAAAUGUUUUAAUAAAAUAUAGCCAUUGAUG